rnacentral:lncRNA from 12 species
UGAGACUAUGUCUCUCUAUAUAAUAAGGUCCCAAAAGGAAAAAUGUUUUAUAUGUUUUUUACUUUCUUUUGUUUUUGUCUUUCUUUUGUUUUUAAGAUUUUAUUUCUUUAUUUUAGAAAGAGAUACAGAAAGCAUAAACGGGUGGAGGGGCCAAAGGGGAGGGAGAGAGAGUCUCAAGCAGCCUCAGCGCUGAGCUCAGAGCUUGUGGCAGGGCUCGAUCUCAUCAUCCUGAGAUCAUGAACUGAGCUGAAAUCAAGAGUUGGAUGCUUGACUGAGCCACUCAUGCAUCCCUGGUUUUUACACUCAAUUGCUGAAUAUAUUUUAAGAGCCCAUGAGGAGUAUUAUUUACGAUAUAUGCCCAUAUAUUUACCAUUUCUGAUGCUCUAAAAUUUUUUAAAAGAUUUUAUUUAUUCAUGAGAUACAGAGAGAGAGAGACAGACAGAGACACAGGCAGAGGGAGAAGCAGGCUCCACGCAGGGAGCCCGAUGCAAGACUUGAUCCCGGAACUCCAGGAUCAUGCCCUGGGCUGAAGGCAGGCGCUAAACUGCUGAGCCACACAGGGAUCCCCUGAUGCUCUAAAAUUUUUAAAAAUAUUUUAUUUUUUUGACAGAGAGUGUGAGAUAGCACAAGCAGGGGGAGGAGCAGGCAGAAGGAGAGGAAGAAGCAGGUUCCCCACCAAGCAGGGAGCCUGACAUGGGGCUUGAUCUAGGACCCUGAGAUCAGGACCAGAGCCAAAGGCAGAUACUUAACCCACUGAGCUACCUAGGUACCCCUGCUUUCUGUUUCCAUGGGAUGUGAUUUUUGUUUUUUUGCUCAUAGGUCAAAUUUGUAUUGCGUUCACGUGGAACUCAUUGCUCUUCAUGGCAACUGCCUUACCAUCUAUUUGACUUCUGGACCUGAGGAAAACCCAAGACUGGAGAGAAUUGCUGGAAGUAUUUCAUCAUGCUACCUAACCAUCUGCCCUCUUGUGCUAAUGGAAAGUAAUAAAAUUAUUUCCAAAUUUAUUUCUGCCCUUUCAAAGGUGAGAAUUACCUCUUCUCAAAGAGCAUUCAGUGACUCACCUGAUACCCCACCACUUCUUUCCAAUGCAGAGGAAUCUACAUUAUCAUUUAUCUGAGGAAACAAAUGCCAUGACA